GUUAAUAAAGGUGGACUCUGGAAAGCAGAAUUUAAAGAGGAGUCUGAUGAUGUGCCAAUAUUUAUGAUAAUAGACUUGAUGCCAUAACAGCUAUCAUUGAAAUUCUCCCGUGGCCGAUUGGAUUGACAGAAUAGGUUAGGAUGCCCCUUGGAGAUCUAGAGGACGGGAAUGGAUGGAAAAAGAAGACGUCGGACAUCAAAGAAAACUAUGACUUCAAAGAAGUUCUGGGAACGACCUGAGGAUUUAGGGAGAAGACUCUACAGGAUGGGUGCUAGGAGGCCCAAGGUCCCUCCCCUUGGAUUGUAUUCUCCAAUGUGUUUUGAGGAGAAGAGGAGAGAGGAUGUGAGGAGGAAUCGAGGAAAGGUGAGUUGAGAAAGAGCCCAUAGGCAAGUCUGUAAUACCACUAUUUCUCGUUUGUCACUAUCUGGCCUAAUUGCAAAGUCAGAAACCCUGCCUAUUUCUAAAAUGUAUCUUCUUCAAAUCUGAUUGUAAACCUAACCCUAACCACACUGCUAAUCUUAU
rnacentral:lncRNA from 1 species